CCUGAUCCCGAGCCCGAGCGGGCGAACCUCCAACCACCAACGUACGUGCCCACCAAACCCCGUACCACGGGGCGUAAACUCGGGCGCUGCCGCCGCCGUGGCCCGCGCGCGCCACGACGCGGAGCCCAACCAGAAGGAGCGCUGCAGUCUGUUGGCAGUAACUUUCUCUCACGGUAAAUUAGGUCUAGGCGUUCACCCGAAAUCUAAAAAGUUUUCAAGAUUCUUCGUCACAUCGAAUCUUACGACAUAUGCAUGAAAUAUUAAAUAUAGACAAAACAAAAACUAAUUACACAGUUUGUCUGUAAAUCGCGAGACGAAUCUUUUGAUCCUAGUUAGUUUAUGAUUGGACAAUAUUUGUCAAAUAAAAACGAAAGUACUACAGUAUCGAAAUCCGAAAUUUUUUCGGAACUAAACAAGGCCCUAGUUUCGGAACAUAUAUGAAAUAUUAAAUAAAAAUAAAAAAAUUAAUUCUACAGUUUUUCUGUAAUUUACAAGAUAAAUCUUUUCAACCUAAUUAGUCUAUAAUUAGAUAAUAAUUACCAAAUACAAACGAAAAUGCUAUCGUACCAAAAAAAUUAACAACUAAACAAAACCUUAAUGAAUAGUACUUUCAAUUAUGAAUUAUUAGCUAGGUGAACAAGCUAAUGGAUAGCAAGCGCUCACUCUGGCUAGUUUGGAAGCAAGC
rnacentral:lncRNA from 1 species